CUCUCGCCGCGCCGGCGGCCCUCCCCGUCACCCUUGCCGCCUCCCACGACGCGCCUCACCUGUGCGCGUCUCGCUAUCCCCACGAAGCCCUCGCCGGCACGCUCCUGGCCUCCCUCCCCGCUCCCCCCAUGGCAGACCAUAAGCGCGCACGAGGGGCGGCAUCAACUUCACUCACUGAUGAAAUAACCUCCGCUGCCCGUGGCUCCCUGACUCUCUGAUGGCAAGAACAGGCACUUGUGGCACUCAUACAAGUCAACAGCCUGUACUCUAAUGGUGCACAAAAGGGCUGUACUCGAUUAGUCAUUUCGUCAGAUUUUAAUGUGAGUCCUUACUGACAAAUGCAUGCUAGAUUCAUCAGUGCUCCACUGGUCCUUUCUCUGCAGCUUCCUUUUGGGUGUAUUUUCUAGGCACAUAGUAUAAUACAUGAUACAUAAGGGCAACAUGAAUAGAUUGAAAUACUAAAAUUCACUAUUUGUAAUGGAUAUGUCGUCUCCUUGAACAGAUAUGAGCAGCCGGUAGUAUUUGUUCAUCGCCAUUUUUUGCAUAUAGGGGUAGUAAAUAAAUGUCUUCAUACGGAAUUAUACAUCAAAGGUGUGCUACAGUACUAAAGAUAUAUUUAUUUUCCCAUUUUUUGGUAACCGUCGCAAAGGACGGACACAUAUACAACAAGUAUAUUAUUUCACCUGUUGAGCACUCAUAAUUGAACCCAUACAACAAGUAUAUUUAGUUCUUUCUUACAAGUUGAAUAUUUGCAUAGUGAUUUUGUAUUAACUAUAGAUUCCCCUCAGCUACUGGAAGGUCCUAAUUGCAAUUCUGAGCACUCCUGAUUGUACCCAUACAACAAUUCUUAUAGUUCUUUCAUAACAGUUGAGUAUUUUCAUAUAGAUUCUGUACUAAUAGAGAUUGCCAUCAGCCAGUGAAAUGUCCAUUUUUUUUGGAUCACCUCAACUUUGCAACUCUGAUCUGUCUGUAAUAUUUUUCGAGUUAUCAAUAUUGUAUCCAUAACAUGGGGAAUAUUCAUUGAAUUAAAUCCGAGUCUACACGUGAUAUUUUUAUCUCUGUUUAUCCCAUUUGUUGAGCAAUGAUAUUAUUUUUUAAGGCUGCUUGUUGAGCAAUUCCAUGGAAGACCCGUGUUCACACUGAACAUUGUAUUCGUACGCUUCCAUGUAUUAAAUUUUAUAAUUUUUUUUGGUUGAUGCAAGCCUUCUUGUUACCUGUAUGUUGUUUAUUCUGCAAUACUUGUCUUACGUACAAUCCAAGCUUCGACUCAAAGUCUGAAGUUGUUGGCUAUUUCAACCCCUCCCCUGUAGUUCAUAUAGUCUUAGAUUUGGAUUUAGAAUCUCUUUUUAUUCUGCAACCAAAGUGUUAGUAAAGUAUACUGAUUAGCACCUGCAAUCUUUUGCAGGUUUUCAUUUUAUGUCUGAUUUGUUUUCAUAUUCACUCACCCUCGAAUCAGUGACAGUUGACAAUUUGGAGAUACAUAUACAAUAGCUAGCUAUUGACAAGCCUGAUUUUAUGUUUUUUCUCGAGGGUCUCAAUAUCAAUCAAAUAUUUUGAUUUUUAGCUGAAUGAUGGAACAAUGGAUAGUGGUGCUUAAUCUCGAACUAGGCCACUGAAAGCUUAUUUACAUAGAUACUUUUAUGUUUCCUUAAAAUUUAGUCCACAUUUAUGACUGACUUUAUGCUCUGCUAAUUCUGUAACGACAUGUUAGAUUUUUGCUACAUGUGUGAGGUGCUAUGUUUUGUAAUGGCAUGUCUUCUAGGCGUCAGGGAACGAUUUGCUGCGACUACAACUAACAUGCAAUAUAUUUGUUUACAGCUCAGCAUUCCUUCUUUUCUGUUGAGUUUUGUUGAUAUAGCAAUUAACAUGCAAUGAUCUAUAUUUAUAUUACUUCCGAAGUUGCAUGUGCACGAUUGCUGGGUUAGACUGUUAGUAUAAGGAACUAUUUGUAUAUGAGAAAAGAAAGCAUUGCUUUAAAAAUUAACCUAUGGGUAUGGUUUAUCUUAGUUGUUGGUCUGCCAUUUGAGGGCGUGAGCACGUGAACAUUUUCAAUGUACAUAUGAUUUAUACUUUCUUGAUCAAUAAUAACAGACAUGCCAAUGAAAGUAACUGUCAAAUGGGAGGUUUGGAGUAUGAUAUUUGGUCUAUUCACAUGCCAUUGGCCCUGCUUUGAUCAACACACGAUUCUUGCUGACUUCUUACAUAUCCUGAUGCACCAGCCACAUGCACCUGCGCCUGCACCUGGUCUUGUUUUCAUAUAUGUUACAGGUCAUACGACACUCCAUUUUUUAUUUGCCACAUUUCUAUCCAUGUUAAAUCUGUGGUCAUUUCAUUGUUUUUUUUCUUGGUUCUGGAGCAAAUUAUGCUUCCGCUAAAUGCAGUUACAGCAGGUCAAAAAACUAAAUACAGUUACACAAUAAAGUUUGAGGAAGAUGGCUUUCAUGAUCACAUUUAUUUCCUCCUUAUUGCUUUAUACAUUCAGAAGUUAUGCUUGACAAGACAACUUAUUUCUCAGACUAAACCAUAUAUGUUAAUACAUUGAUUUAUGCUACAACAACGUAAUUUUGGAAUGUAUAGCUCCUAAGUGCCGAAUACAUGAGACUGAAUUUGGUUAUCCAGAUCAUGAUUUGGUCUUAUUGAUAGCAAUGUGAACCUUUGAAAAAUUGUUUUAAUUCAUUUGUCUUCUCUUAGUGGACCUGGAAUCUUUCUAUGGCCUUCUUUCCUAGGGCUGCAUUAUUUGAUUUAAUCCUUUUUUGCCCGAGCCGAAGGAUCUAAUGAGAAACUGUUGGUUCACAAUCAACCCUUGGAAGUGUCAACAUCUAGAUCGACAAAUUUUACAGUAAGGUGACUGGAAUUUUCAGCUGCGGCGGUCGACAUGUGCCUGAGAAGUAGGUGAGACGGCACUAAGGCUCAGAUGGAGGUGACACUGCCUGUCGCGGCAUCUCCAAGAUGGAGAUGGAGCUAGGACCUGGACGUAGGCAGGGACGACGCAACUUGUCGUGGUGUCGGCGGCGGAGGACAUGCAGCGGGUUAUGGGGUUUGGGUAGAGGUGGGUUAGAUGGAUGACGGCGGCAGCAGCGGUACCUCGGGCAGACCAGGGCGGCAAGGCUGCAACGUGGGCGGUCGUGUGUGUUGGCGUAACGGACCCGACUGAAGAGAAACCUUUUUGAGCCUGAAAUAGUCGCUCUCAAUUGUAACCAUAGCAGCAUGGCACGGUUU